ensembl:lncRNA
AGCUGCCCGGCCGGCGCUGUGACCGCCGUGUCGCCGGAGGGCCGCGUGGGGCCCAGAGGUCGGGCCGCGGCUGGCCCGAUGUCCUCUUCACUUCCGCAGGCUCCUUGGGUUCCUUUCGCACCAGUCCUGGCACAUUCCAUGGCCAGUGCUGGGUCACAGGGCCUGGGUGUGCACAGCAGGGCACCCUCUGGCGUCUUCAGCAGCCCCAACGUGGAAGCGAACCAGAUGUCCACAAACUGGCGAGAGAUCACAUGGGCUCAGGCGCAGGAAGAAUGAAGUUCUGACACGUGCCGAACAGGAGAAGCCAUCACAAAGGCCAGGGGUUGUGUGAUUCCUUGCUGUGGGCUGGAUUAUGCCCCCUUGCACACGUGAAACCCCAGCCCCAGUUUACCUGGAGUCUCUUGGAGGUGACUGACUGAGGAACAUCAGGUCAGAAGGCUGGGGCCCUCAUGCCAUUGGGUUAGUGUCCUCGUGGCAGUCCUGACACCAGGUGCUCUUCUUUGCACGCCUUGGCUUUCUUGCCCUCCACGUCCACCGCGUGAGGACGCAGCGGCGGCCACCAGGUCUGCAAGCCCGAAGGAGGCCUCUUGACCACCGCCUGAUUGAUGUCCUACAGUCUCUAAGCUGAGAAAUGCACAGCUGCUAGGGUGUUUUGUUUUAUGGCAGCCAGAAUGGACCAAUACGUUCUAUCUCUGUAAAAUGGCCAGAAUAGGCAACUCUGUAGUCAGAAAGGUUCCUGGGUGGCAGUGGGAGGAUUGGGCGUGCUUAAUCGGUACAGUUGCUUUAAGGGGUGAAGACUGUUGUGGAGUUAAGUAGUGGUCACACAACUUUGUCAAUAUAAGUGGUACUCAGUUCAUGAGCUUAAUUCUCUCCAUGAUUCUGGUCGCAAACCGAAUUGGAUGAGAUCUGAAUCAAAUUUCCCCAUACGGCUGGGUGUGGUGGCACAUGCCUAUAACAUACACACAGUUUCUCCAUAUGGUCAACACUGCACCUAACCAUUGAAUUUGAUUUGGUUCUCAUCCAAUUCAGUUUGUGACCAGAAUCAUGGAAAAAAUUCAAUUGGUGAACUAAGGUACCACUGUGCUACCUCUGUCUUUUCUUUUUUGGAGACAAGGUUUCACUGUGCAGUUCAGGCUGGCCUCGAAAUUACAGCAAUCCUCCUGCCUCAGCCUCCUGAGUGCUGGGACUACAGGCAUGUGCCUCCAUGCCCAGCUAAUACCACUGUACUAAAAUAAAAACCACUACAUUCUGCAGUUUAUAAGGGUCAGUUUUAUGGUAUGUGAAGCAUAUCUCAAGCUGAUAUUUUUUUUUUCUCCUGGUACCAGGGAUCAAACUCAGGACCUUGCACUUGUAAGGCAGGCAUGGUGCCACUGAGCUAAAUCCCCAGCCAUCAAGCUGCUUUUUUUUUUUUUUUUGGUACCAGGGAUCGAACUUGGGUCCUUGCAAAACUACUGAGCUAAAUCCCGGGCCCCAAGCUGCUAUUUUUUAGGAAAGAAGAAAGGGAGGGAGGAGAAGUGUGAGGUAGGGUCAAGGAGGUGUAGGGGAGAAAGUUCUGGGAGUGACAGGGAGGAGAGGGGUUUUGCCUCCUUUCCCUUUUCUCUGUGCUGUCCACCAUGUUCCAACUACUGUCACCACCUGCCAGGGUCAGUACACAGCUUCCCGCCUCCCGCCUCUCCCACUGCCACUGCCCAGAGUCACCUCUCUAAGUCUCAGCUUGACAUUCCUCCGGGGUUCCCUCUGGCCAAGCUCAGCACACUGUGCCCCUCAUCCUCUGGGCCUGCUGGUUGCCUCUGCUGCCCUCAAGCCCACCCCUCCUAGGCCUCAAUUUGCCCUACCUUUUAAUCCAUGCCCAUGUCCUUGCCCUGCCACCCCAGCAGCCUGGAACAGCGCCCCACCUUUCUCCUGUGCCUGGAUUGCAUUCGGUCACUCUCAGGGUUCACUGUGGCCUGGCCUUUCCCCAGCAGCGGUCCUGGCACCCCUGACCAAGGCUGGGGUCAGUGCCACCUGUGUGCCACUGUGCGUGUACAGCCACACGGGGUGUCCUGCCACUUGGCUGCAAGUGCUGUCGCAGCACUGCUGCAUCAGAAACUCUGGGGCAGCAGUUAGUGCUGUCACAGGCAC